UGCCAGCCAAGGAUCCAGAGGAGAUAAGACCAAGGAGAUACGGUAGUUAAGUGUGGGCAUCACCCAGGCUUGGUGGCAGGAUAAUUCAUUAGGUGUGCAUACCAAGGAACACCUGGAGCUCCAGCAUCUUGUCUCCUGUACCCAGUAUGGGCAGACUCUUAACACAUCUGUAAUGAUGGAUGGAAAUUCUUCACCUCCGUGAGUUUGCCAAAGGCAACAGAGGACUGCCGGAAUUCAGACUUGCUGGUGGCAGAUCAGCGGUGGCCACAGGAGAAGAAAACAGCAUGGGGACUAGCGUGACUGGAAGGAAGAAGCCUGGGUCCCAGGCUCCCUGCGUGAUCUCACGGAGCAGAGCCUCCUAUCCUGACUGGCCCUGGACCUUUGACAACAGUUGAUCAUCACAUAAGAGACUAAUUAUCAAAUUGAAUGAACAACUGAAUAUUUAAAACGGAGGUAAAGACAAAAGAUACGAAAUAGUCAAAGGAGAGGAAAUAUGAAUACCUUUUGAACAUAUGAAACAAUGCUCAAUUUACUCCUAAUAGGAAAAAGCAAAUUAAA